rnacentral:misc_RNA from 1 species
AAGUUUUGGCAUAUCAAAAUCAUUUCAGGCAACACCCGACCCUUGGCAUCGGUUUUUUCAAUAAUCUCCAAGUAUAGAAGCAACAGUUUUUGGAUUGUGUGGUCCUCAGAGGGCAAAACAUAUCUAACAAUUGUAAUGAAGAGCUGGGGAAGUGUUUCACCAUUCAGCAAAAGACUGAUUGCCUUCUUCAUGGCAUCUACCUUUGCUGGUACAUCAUUUCCUUCAAGUGCUUCUUUAAUCUCAUUGGCAAUAGCUGGUGUUCCUUUGUCGAAGUGAACAAGCAGAGUACAGGAUUUCUCCAUCUCUUGUUUGUUUCCUUAUAGCAAUCAGAUCUGAGGAGAAGGCAGUGAAUUCCAGUGAAAUUGAAUGAAUAAACAGAGUCUGGGUGCAGGAAAGCGCAAGAGAUCAUUCGAAUCAAUGAAAUCUAAAAAGAGUUCAUUCUAUAGGGAGCAAUGACAUGUGUAGUGAAAUGAAAUGCUCUGAGUCUCAGAUCCAAAAUAUAACCCUUGUGUGCUUAUAAGCUAAUUAGCGAAGCUAGCAAGGAAGAGCCACCAAGAGGAGGACCUGGUUGAAAUAUUUUCACGCCUUUUU